rnacentral:rRNA from 1 species
AGUGAACGCUGGCGGUAGGCUUAACACAUGCAAGUCGAACGGCAGCACAGUAAGAGCUUGGGUUGACGGGUGGCGAGUGGCGGACGGGGGAGGAAUAGAGCGGAAUCUACUUUUUCGUGGGGGAUAACGGAGGGAAAGUGAGGCUAAUACGGGAUACUACCUACGGGUGAAAUGAGGGGAUCUUGGGAGAUAGUGCGUUUGAAGGAGCCGAGGUCGGAGUAGCUGGUUGGCGGGGUAGAGGCACACCAAGGCGACGAUGCGUAGCUGCUCUGAGAGGAUGAUCAACGACACUGCAACUGAGAAACCGCCCCGACUCCUACGGCGGGCAGCAGCGGGGAAUAUUGGACAAUGGUCGCAGGCAUGAUCCAGCCGUACCGCGUGGGUGAAGAAGGACUUCUGGUUGUAAAGCCCUUUUGUUGGGAAAGAAAAGCAGUAGCUUCAUUCCCCGCUGUUCUGACGGUACCCAAAGAAUAAGCACCGGCUAACUUCGUG